rnacentral:rRNA from 1 species
GACGAACGCUGGCGGCGUGCCUAAUACAUGCAAGUCGAACGCACAGUUUAUACCGUAGCUUGCUACACCAUAGACUGUGAGUUGCGAACGGGUGAGUAACGCGUAGGUAACCUGCCUGGUAGCGGGGGAUAACUAUUGGAAACGAUAGCUAAUACCGCAUAAUAUUGAUUAUUGCUUGAUAAUUGAUUGAAAGAUGCUAUUGCAUCACUACCAGAUGGACCUGCGUUGUAUUAGCUAGUAGGUGAGGUAACGGCUCACCUAGGCGACGAUACAUAGCCGACCUGAGAGGGUGAUCGGCCACACUGGGACUGAGACACGGCCCAGACUCCUACGGGAGGCAGCAGUAGGGAAUCUUCGGCAAUGGACGAAAGUCUGACCGAGCAACGCCGCGUGAGUGAAGAAGGUUUUCGGAUCGUAAAGCUCGGUUGUAAGAGAAGAACGGGUGUGAGAGUGGAAAGUUCACACUGUGACGGUAUCUUACCAGAAAGGGACGGCUAACUACGUG